rnacentral:rRNA from 1 species
UACGUAGGGGGCUAGCGUUGCUCGGAAUCACUGGGCGUAAAGGGUGCGUAGGCGGGUCUUUAAGUCAGGGGUGAAAUCCUGGAGCUCAACUCCAGAACUGCCUUUGAUACUGAAGAUCUUGAGUUCGGGAGAGGUGAGUGGAACUGCGAGUGUAGAGGUGAAAUUCGUAGAUAUUCGCAAGAACACCAGUGGCGAAGGCGGCGCACUGGCCCGAUACUGACGCUGAGGCACGAAAGCGUGGGGAGCAAACAGG